GCCCGGGUAGCUCAAUCGGUAGAGCGUGUGGCUCUUAUAACUGAAAGAUCGAAAGAUCUAUAUCGGAACCUCAAGGUCGUGGGUUCGAGCCCCACCUCGGGCU